rnacentral:rRNA from 1 species
GAUGAACGCUAGCGGGAGGCUUAAUACAUGCAAGUCGAGCGAGAAGGUUGGUGCUUGCACUAACUGGACAGCGGCGCACGGGUGAGUAACGCGUACGCAAUCUACCUUUCACAGAGGGAUAGCCCCGGGAAACUGGGAUUAAUACCUCAUGGUCCGUAAUAGUGGCAUCACUAUAACGGUAAAGUUCCGACGGUGAAAGAUGAGCGUGCGUACUAUUAGCUAGUUGGUGAGGUAACGGCUCACCAAGGCGAUGAUAGUUAGGGGGCGUGAGAGCGUGAUCCCCCACACGGGUACUGAGACACGGACCCGACUCCUACGGGAGGCAGCAGUAAGGAAUAUUGGACAAUGGAGGCAACUCUGAUCCAGCCAUCCCGCGUGCAGGAUGACGGCGCUACGCGUUGUAAACUGCUUUUGUGUAAGAUGAAACACUUCCAUUUAUGGAGGCUUGACGUUAUUACAAGAAUAAGCACCGGCUAACUCCG